CCUAUUUCUGCUGAAAUUGAUUUCCCUAAAGACUGGUUUCGUUCUGGGUCUAAGAUGACAAGUAUUGAUAUCUCUUCUUCCACUGAGGGCUCUAGUGGCUGGCCUUAAUUAGCUACCUAAGAGCCGUGAGUCUACUUUCUUGGAACUGCCAAGGAAUUGGAACACCCCUGACAGUCAAAAACCUCAAGGAGGUUGUUUUCGAAAAUAAGCCUGUGAUAGUUUUUCUUAUGGAACUGAACAACGAGCAGAUAAACUUGAAAGGGUUCGACGGCAAUGCAGUUUGACCUCAACUUGGUAUGUUUCCUCUAAUGGUCUUUCUAGGGGAUUAGCUCUCUGGUGGAGUAAUGAUAUCAUGAUCCAAAUUUUAUUCUCUUGUAAGAACUAUAUUCAUACUUGUGUUACUUCAUCCUCUUGGGAAGUUCCUGAAUUGAUUAAGUUUAUAUGUAGUCCCCUGUGGAAGCAGAUAGGAAAAUAAUAUGGCCUGACAUUAGCAACUGGAUGCGUAGUAUAAUUGUUCCAUGGCUAUGUCUAGGAGAUUUCAAUGAUUUUCUCUCACUCCUUAAGAAAUAUGGUGGUAACCCCCAAGCUGUUAGUAGAAUUUUGAACUUUCAAAUGUUUGCUGCAUCUUGUGAAUUAGUUGAUCUAGAAUCUAAAGGCUCAAGAUUUAUGUGGUGUAACCAAAGGUUGGAAGAGGAAAGAGUCAAAGAGCAAAUAGAUCAGGCAAUGGCUGACCCAGCUUUUCGUGAAAAUUUCCCUAAGGCUCUCUCUGUUCACACUGACUCUGUAGCUUCUGAUCAUCACUUCUUAUUGGUGUGCCUUUGCUAUCAAGACUAGAAAACUCCUUGCACUUUCAAGUAUGAAAUCAACUGGGCUACACGUCCAAACUUCAAGAAGGUUGUCAAAAAAUCAUAGUUCCUUAAGGAGCCUUAAGCCGAAUUAAUUGCACCCCAAUUUAUAAGUUGCACAAAGAGAUGUAGUACGGAGCUUAUGGCCUGAAGCAGGAAAGCUUUUCCAAAUAAUAAGAAAGAAAUAGAUCAUAUUCUCCUCCAAAUAGGAAAAGUCAAAGAAGAGUAUUUUAAUGAGGAAAGCAGAAUUAUGGUACAGCACUUUACUAAUAAACUGGAGCGACCAUGAAAGUUGGAGGAAACCUACUGGUGGAAACAUUCUAGAGUUAACUGGAUUUCUAGAGGUGACCUCAACACUUGGUUCUUUCAUACUUCCACUCUCACUAGAAGGUAACAGAACCAAGUUGUAAAACUCAAAGAUGACUCAGAUUCUCAAAAUGUCUGGCUUACGUCCCCAAUCACAAAGGAAAAACUAAAACAAGCCACUUUCCAGUUAGGUGCUUCAAAGGCACGAGGGCCAGAUGGUUUUAAUGGGCAUUUUUAUCAAUCUGCUUGGGAUGAGAAUUGUAGUGUCAUCAAAGAGCUCCUUCAAUCCUAUUGCAAUGCUUUUGGCCAAAGAAUCAAUUACGACAAGUUAUCUCUCUUUUUCUCAACUAAUUCCCCCUCAAUGAUCAAAGAGGAGGUGUACUCUUUCCUACAUGUGACUGCAGUAGAGAACCCAGGACCUUAUCUUGGUCUCCUGAUUCUAUGGGGAAGAUCAAAAGUGGCUGCUCUUACUUAUAUCCAAGAUAGAAUUGGACAAAAUGUAUAUAGGUGGAAAAGUAAGUUUCUCACCUUUACUGGGUAUGAAAUUAUAAUUAAGUCUGUUAUUAAUGCCAUCACUAUUUUUCCCAUGACUUACUUUAAGUUCCCCAAAUGAACUUGUAUGGAGUUGAAUAGUUUAGUAGCAAACUUUUAUUGGGUUCUGGACCUGUUCUAAAAUUGGGAAAUAUUUCCCUAAGCUUGGUUACAGAUUGGAGUACUUAAGAGCCCACACUCCUCCCAUCACAAAUCCAUCCACCUUUAUUACUUUCCCUAAUGCCCUUUGGAAAUCUAUUUGGCAUCUUCAUAUUCAUCCUAAAAUAAAACAUUUCCUGUGGCAUGCCCUUACUCGUUCUUUUGCCACUAAAGAUGCUCUUUACUCCAGAAAAUGUGCCUCUAACCCCCUUUGUCCUAUUUGAAGGGUUGCACCUGAAACUAUACAGCACAUGCUAUUGUUGUGUGAAUGAGCCAAAAAAGUAUGGUAUGGUUCGGCUCUGACAAUCAUUAUAAACCCCUAUCCAAUUUCAUCUUUUGAGAUUUGGUGUACAAAAUUUUUAUUGGAUGAGCCUCUUAUAAAGGACUAUGACAAAGUUAAUAUAGCUUGCCUCUGCUGGAAUAUUUGGAAAACCAGUUCUGCCUCUGUUUUCAAUGCUGGUGCAAUUGAUUCUUAUAAGGUUCUACAAACUACUUAUGCUGCAAUUCAGGAAUUUUGGGCCUCAAGCUAAAAGAUUCCAGAAAGUGCCCUACUCCUGUUGUAUCUAAUACUAGAUAGUCGCCACUUGCACAAGAUAUCAUGAAAAUUAAUUGUGAUAAAGCUUUCUCUUCAGCCUCAGGUAAAGUUGCAAUUGGCAUCGUCUAUAGAUCCCACUCUGGGGAUUAUCUUAAAGGUUAGAAUGAACAAGUUCAAGUUGACUCAAGCUUCAUGGCUGAAUUACUAGCAUGUGCCAAGGCUAUAAAUAUUGCUAAUAAUUUUCCUGACCAUCAUGUUAUGGUGGAAUUGGAUUGUCUAGAAUUGUUUAUUGCCCUUAUUAGUCACAAUGCUUCAAGUUGUGCUUGGCCUUAUCAUGGGAUACUUUCUGAUCUUUUUGUUGCCUUAGGAUCUCAGCCUCCUCUCUCUCUCUCUCGUUUCUGAAACAAGAUGGAAACACUACAGCCAACUGAAUGGCUGGCUCCUCUCUAAAGGGUGUGAUCUCAGGCGGUUGGCUUCUCCAUCCCCCACUCCCUCUAAUUAAUAUCCUGCAACGAGAUUCUGUGGCAUAUGGUGAGGAAAUUCAGCAAUCUGGACAGGGAAGGCAUUGGCUGAUUGUCUUUCUUUUAGUUUGUUUUGUUUAGGUCUUUGCCAUGCUUUUGGCUUAUGACUUUUAUGCUUUUUCGCUUUGUUUUCGUCCAUAGUCAAACUCUUGCUUUGAUUCUUGAUGAAUGAAUCUUCUCUUUGGUAAAAAAAUAAAAAUAAUAAUUAUAAUA